rnacentral:rRNA from 1 species
UACGUAGGGUGCAAGCGUUGUCCGGAAUUAUUGGGCGUAAAGAGCUCGUAGGCGGUUUGUCGCGUCUGCUGUGAAAACUCGGGGCUUAACCCCGGGCCUGCAGUGGGUACGGGCAGACUAGAGUGCGGUAGGGGAGACUGGAAUUCCUGGUGUAGCGGUGAAAUGCGCAGAUAUCAGGAGGAACACCGAUGGCGAAGGCAGGUCUCUGGGCAUUAACUGACGCUGAGGAGCGAAAGCAUGGGGAGCAAACGGG